rnacentral:rRNA from 1 species
CAUGGGCCUCGGGGGAUCACUACGGGAGGCAGCAGUGGGGAAUAUUGGACAAUGGGCGAAAGCCUGAUCCAGCCAUGCCGCGUGUGUGAAGAAGGUCUUCGGAUUGUAAAGCACUUUAAGUUGGGAGGAAGGGCAGUAACCUAAUACGUUGUGUUUUGCGUUACCGACAGAAUAAGCACCGGCUUC